UUCCUGUGUGUCCUUGGGCAAGUUAUUUAGCCUUGCUGUGCCUCAGUUUUCUCAUCUGUAAAAUGGGAAUAAUCAUAGUGUUGAUAAGAAUUUAAUGAGCAAAACAAGUACAGUGUACAGCACAGUGCCCAGGACAGGGUAAAACAUUAGGUGUUAUUUCUCUCCACCUUGUUGACCAACCUGGGACCUUCAUACCUCUCCACAAACCUGAGGCUGAAGAGGCCAAGUCUGCCUCCCCCUCUCCCUGUAGGCAAGGAAGUCUAGGGGGAGAAGGGAUGGUCUCCCCACAGCUGCCUAAAGCCCAUCCCACAGUUCCAGGCUGGGGGCAGAAUGUCUGCAGCCUCCACAAUGAGAUGGAGCCUGGAUUCAAGUUCUGCCUCAGCCCCUAAAUAGCUGUGUGCUCUUGAACAAAUAACAGCUUCUCUGAGCCUCAGCUACCUCACCUGCAAAAUGGGGUUAAUAUUAGUACCCACUGCAUAAGGGUUAUGAGGGUGAUGUCUCUGAAAUGCCUGGCACAAAGAAGCCACUCAGUAAAUGGUUGCUGUCACUGCUGCCUGGCACACAGAGCAGGUGCUCCACAAACGUCAGUUUCCUUUAUCAUGUGCACCUUCCUCUUCCUAAGAGUCACAAUGUUCCAGGUCAAGCCAUGGGGCCUUAGGGUUUCUGGAUCGCAGAAUGCGGACACCUCCGCUCUAGGAAGAGCCCCUCCUCCUUGCUCCUGAGCCCCUACCCCACCAGGAGGCACUGCAGAGAUGCUGUUUCUCUUCACGCAGUGUGUGUAAUCAAGACUCAAGUGACAGAUGGACAGAUAUGCAAGGAAAGGAAAGCCCUCAAGACGCAAGGGUAUGGCUGCUCCUGGACUCCUCAGCCAAGCUUGAGUAGAAUGAGGGGGCAGACUGGAGGCAGAGCACAGUCAGCCCCACCGCUGUCAAUCAUCCUGGGCUUUCCUGGCACCCUCACUCCCUCACCUCUACCCCUGAGGACCUUUCCUUGCUGGAUGAAGGGGUGCGGAACUGCUUUGGCCUUCCAGCUCUGGCAGAGCAGAAGCCCCCAACUCCAGGAAGUCAAAGGUCUGUGGUGUGCAGAGCUUUGAUGGGCCCCCUAAAGGCUGGCUGCUGCCUGGUCCAAGCGUCAAGGCAGAGGCUGGCUUCUUGUGCCAAAGCUUCAUUAGCCCUGCUGGGGACAGAGUCUCCUCAUUUCCCAGAGAAAAAGACUGAGACCACCCCCCGCCACCAAGAUCUAACCUGGAGCAGGUGAGGGGCCUUCCUACUCCACCCCAACAGAAAUCAGGAGCCCCACUUGCUCCAGAAGACUCAGCCCAGGACAAAGUCCACAGACACACCUUAUACACAGCCCAGGACCCCUCCCUCCUGCAAACACACACACACACACACACACACACACACUAAAGAUCAAGGUAAAAUCCAAACGGGAUCGUCAACGGCAACAUGGGCACCAAGAUUCUGUCCCUCAAGGGCCUGAUGGUGGCAUGAUGGAGUCCCCUGUCCCAGAACCCCACAUCCCUAAGGAUGCCCUAAGACACAGGCCCCAGGUACUGCCCUCUCCCAACCUAACAUCUCCUGCUCUGUCCCUAAGGGUCCUCGGCCACACUGGACUGCAGGGAACCCCUGGGAGGUAUGACCCUCACCAAGAAGGAAGCCGAGUGGCAGACGCCAGUGAGAUGAAAGACUCAAGGGUCAGCGGAUCAAGAUGAGAGUUGUGAAGUGACCACUGCCUCUGGCACAUGUCGAGAAGACAAAGGCUGGACCCUCUGAGGUCCCCUCAGACCCACGGGUCUAUCCAAGGAGGCUCUGAGCUUUGUUCGAGAGUUCGGGCAGGGCUGUCCUGUGCUCUCUAACAGGGGUGCGGGCGAGGGGGCAGUGCAGGCAGUGGGCCCAGAAAGCAGUGUCCCUGGAAGAACCCCAAGGGAAAGGGGGCAGGUGUAACCUCCUUAAUUUCCCUGCCCUUCCUGCUUUCUUGGCCAGGACCAAGUGUCCUUCUCUCUGAGAGGCCUACACAGGAAGUGGGGGCUCUAUCCCACCCAUGCCUGUAAGGGAGUGUGCUGAUACCUGGCCCCUACCCACACAAGAGUUCCCCACCCCUCAGCCUGGCACUCAGGGCCUCUCUGCUCCAUCUUACCUCCCUCUCCCUUUCACACAGCCACGCUGUGGCCAGGCUGAGCUUCCCAAGGCCGCCGGUCCAUCUCUCACACUCUGCAGCUUCUGCACCUUUGCUCCUGCUGCGCCCCCAGCCUGGAAUGCCGGAAUCCCACCUCCUGUCCCCUCACAGGUGUGUGUCUGAGCCUCGCCAGCCCUGCAGGUCCCAGAGGAAACCUCUCCUCCUCCCUGGGCUUCCCCGACAGACUUUUCCACUUAGAAGACAUGGUCUCCCCUCCUUACAACUCCCAGGGCUCCUGACCAGAGCCCUCCUCGGCUCUGCCUGCAUGGACCUGCACCUCCCACUAGGCUCAGCUUCUGGGGGCAGGGGCUUCAGCUCCCACAAGUGCUAACCUGUGUCUCUACCCACAGCAAAUGCUCAACAAACACUGGUCACCGUGCACGUUCAAAAGAGAGGCUGAGUGCUUGGGCCUGGAGUCAGCCAGCCCUGGGCACCAACCUGCCUCCGUUAUUCACUAACUUGUUAGCUGCCAGCUUUAGGCAAGUUUUCCCCCUCUGAGCCUUACUCAGAGCUCAUGGUGGUAUUGUAAGGAUUAAACGAGAAAAUGGAUGUAAA